rnacentral:rRNA from 1 species
UACAGAGGGGGCAAGCGUUGUUCGGAAUACUGGGCGUAAAGGCGCGUAGGCGGCCUGCUAAGUCGAACGUGGAAAUCCCUGGGCUCAACCCAGGAACUGCGUCCGAUACUGGUUGGCUUGAAUCCGGGAGAGGGAUGUGGAAUUCCAGGUGUAGCGGUGAAAUGCAUUGAGAUCGGAAGGAACACCGGUGGCGAAAGCGGCGCGCUGGAUCCCUACUGACGCUGAGGCACGAAA